rnacentral:lncRNA from 10 species
UUUCCAUUAUAAAUUCUCCCUUGGUAAUCCUUUUGUGAUUUUUGUAUUGGAAAUUGAGGGUUGGCUAAUUGAAGUCAGAUGUUCAGUGCAGAGUGUUGCAGCGUAUCCCAAUUUGUUGCCUUGUUUCUCUGUUCUCUCUUUGUAUGAUCUAUGGAGACUCCAAAAAGUUAUCUGGGGAAGAACAAUGGCACAUUUAACUCAGAUUCUAUUCCAGACAAGCUUAUCAAACAAUUUCUGUGGAACAAGUACAGUGUUAUUCCUGAUAGAAUUCUGUCGAGAUAGAUAGGACACAUAGGACUUAUCAAAGAGGGAAGCCCGUCACCUUUAUUAGUCUGGAACUUCCUUUUCUUCAAUCAACAACAUAUGUGAACC